rnacentral:rRNA from 1 species
UACGUAGGGUGCAAGCGUUGCCCGGAUUUAUUGGGCGUAAAGGGCGCGUAGGCGGCUCUGCACGUUCGUUGUGAAAUCGCCCGGCUCAACUGGGCGGGGUCAGCGGAUACGGCAGAGCUUGAGCAAGCUAGGGGGCAAUGGAAUUCCCGGUGUAGUGGUGGAAUGCGUAGAUAUCGGGAGGAACACCAGUGGCGAAGGCGGUUGCCUGGAGCUUUGCUGACGCUGAGGCGCGAAAGCGUGGGGAGCGAUCCGG